AACGUAGGAGACAAACGUUAUCCGGAGUUACUGGGCGUAAAGGGCGUGUAGGUGGUUUCGUAAGUCUGGCGUGAAAUAUCUCGGCUUAACCGAGGCAGGUCGUCGGAUACUGCGGGACUAGAGGACGGUAGAGGCGUGUGGAAUUCCGGGUGCAGUGGUGAAAUGCGUAGAGAUCCGGAGGAACACCAGUGGCGAAGGCGACACGCUGGGCCGUACCUGACACUGAUGCGCGACAGCAUGGGGAGCAAACAGG
rnacentral:rRNA from 1 species